UACGUAGGGUGCGAGCGUUAAUCGGAAUUACUGGGCGUAAAUCGUGCGCAGGCGGUUUUGUAAGCCAGAUGUGAAAUCCCCGGGCUUAACCUGGGAAUGGCAUUUGGGACUGCAAGGCUUGAGUGCGGCAGAGGAGACUGGAAUUCCUGGUGUAGCAGUGAAAUGCGUAGAUAUCUGGAGGAACACCGGUGGCGAAGGCGGCAUUCUGGACCGAUAUUGACGCUGAGGAGCGAAAGCCAGGGGAGCAAACGGG
rnacentral:rRNA from 1 species